UACGAAGGGGGCUAGCGUUGCUCGGAAUCACUGGGCGUAAAGCGCACGUAGGCGGCUUUCUAAGUCAGGGGUGAAAUCCUGGAGCUCAACUCCAGAACUGCCUUUGAUACUGGAAAGCUUGAGUUCGGGAGAGGUGAGUGGAACUGCGAGUGUAGAGGUGAAAUUCGUAGAUAUUCGCAAGAACACCAGUGGCGAAGGCGGCUCACUGGCCCGGUACUGACGCUGAGGUGCGAAAGCGUGGGGAGCAAACAGG
rnacentral:rRNA from 1 species